rnacentral:rRNA from 1 species
UACGAACUGUGCGAACGUUAUUCGGAAUCACUGGGCUUACAGGGUGCGUAGGCGGCUUGUUAAGUAGGGUGUGAAAGCCCCCGGCUCAACCGGGGAAUUGCGCCCUAAACUGGCGAGCUGGAGUGAGAUAGGGGGUGUGUGGAACUUCCGGUGGAGCGGUGAAAUGUGUUGAUAUCGGAAGGAACGCCGGUGGCGAAAGCGACACACUGGAUCUUGUCUGACGCUGAGGCACGAAAGCCAGGGGGAGCGAAACGGG